GUCUCUGUGGCGCAAUUGGUUAGCGCGUUCGGCUGUUAACCGGAAGGUUGGUGGUUCAAGCCCACCCAGGGACG